UACGUAGGGCGCAAGCGUUGUCCGGAAUUAUUGGGCGUAAAGAGCUCGUAGGCGGUCUGUUGCGUCUGCCGUGAAAACCCGAGGCUUAACCUCGGGCCUGCGGUGGAUACGGGCAGACUAGAGGUAGGUAGGGGAGAAUGGAAUUCCUGGUGUAGCGGUGGAAUGCGCAGAUAUCAGGAGGAACACCGGUGGCGAAGGCGGGUCUCUGGGCAGUAACUGACGCUGAGGAGCGAAAGCGUGGGGAGCGAACAGG
rnacentral:rRNA from 1 species